UACGUAGGGUGCAAGCGUUGUCCGGAAUUAUUGGGCGUAAAGAGCUCGUAGGCGGUCUGUCGCGUCUGCUGUGAAAACUCAGGGCUUAACCCUGAGCUUGCAGUGGGUACGGGCAGACUAGAGUGCGGUAGGGGAGACUGGAAUUCCAGGUGUAGCGGUGAAAUGCGUAGAUAUCUGGAGGAACACCGGUGGCGAAGGCGGCGUUCUGGACUGCAACUGACACUGAGGAACGAAAGCCCAGGGGAGCAAAACGGG
rnacentral:rRNA from 1 species